AGCUCCAAUAGCGUAUAUUAAAGUUGCUGCAGUUAAAAAGCUCGUAGUUGCAUUUCCGAGGCAAGGGAUUAGUCCGACCUUUGGUGGGUAUUUAAUCCUCUUGCCUCGUCCUUGAGUGGUGCUUCUUGGUAUUAAGUUAUCGAGGAGAUAGCCGCUCAUCGUUUACUGUGAGAAAAUUAGAGUGUUCAAAGCAGGCUUAUGCCGUUGAAUAUAUUAGCAUGGAAUAAUAAGAUAGGACCUCGGUACUAUUUGGUUGGUUCGAGAACCAAGGUAAUGAUGAAUAGGGACAGUUGGGGGUAUUCGUAUUCAGUUGUCAGAGGUGAAAUUCUUAGAUUUACGGAAGACGAACUACUGCGAAAGCAUUUACCAAGGAUGUUUUCA
rnacentral:rRNA from 1 species